rnacentral:rRNA from 1 species
AUGAUCAAAGCUUAUUGUGAUGCUUCAGGAGAACGUGUCAAUCUAUCCAAGUCUAGCAUCCUUUUUAGAAAAGGAUGUCCAAAUAAUAAAAAAGAGGCGAUUAAAGAUAUCCUAGUUAUACCCAAUGAAUCACUUUCUGAGAGGUAUUUGGGCUUAUCUUCGGAUGUUGGUAAAUCAAAAAACAACGCCUUCAGGUACAUCAAGGAUAGGUUGUGGGGUAAAGUCCGGGGCUGA